rnacentral:rRNA from 1 species
AUAGAACGUCAGCGCGGCAGGCCUAACACAUGCAAGUCGAGCGGAUACGAGUUAGUCUGAACCUUCGGGGAACGAUAACGGCGUCGAGCGGCGGACGGGUGAGUAAUGCCUGGGAAAUUGCCCUGAUGUGGGGGAUAACCAUUGGAAACGAUGGCUAAUACCGCAUAAUAGCUUCGGCUCAAAGAGGGGGACCUUCGGGCCUCUCGCGUCAGGAUAUGCCCAGGUGGGAUUAGCUAGUUGGUGAGGUAAUGGCUCACCAAGGCGACGAUCCCUAGCUGGUCUGAGAGGAUGAUCAGCCACACUGGAACUGAGACACGGUCCAGACUCCUACGGGAGGCAGCAGUGGGGAAUAUUGCACAAUGGGCGCAAGCCUGAUGCAGCCAUGCCGCGUGUAUGAAGAAGGCCUUCGGGUUGUAAAGUACUUUCAGCAGUGAGGAAGGUGGUAGUGUUAAUAGCACUAUCAUUUGACGUUAGCUGCAGAAGAAGCACCGGCUAACUCCGUGCCAGCAGCCGCGGUAAUACGGAGGGUGCGAGCGUUAAUCGGAAUUACUGGGCGUAAAGCGCAUGCAGGUGGUUUGUUAAGUCAGAUGUGAAAGCCCGGGGCUCAACCUCGGAAUUGCAUUUGAAACUGGCAGACUAGAGUACUGUAGAGGGGGGUAGAAUUUCAGGUGUAGCGGUGAAAUGCGUA